rnacentral:rRNA from 1 species
GAGGAAUAUUGGGCAAUGGGCGCAAGCCUGACCCAGCCACGCCGCGUGUGUGAUGAGGGCCUUCGGGUCGUAAAGCACUGUGGGGAGAGACGAAACAGCGCACCAGGAAAUGGGUGCGCCUUGACGGUACCUC